UGCGCAAUGGCUUUUAAAAAGAGAACUGGAAGGAUUUAGCCAUAAACUGUUAAAGGAAAUUGAGUGCGAGGAUUCAAUCCUUCACAAAAAUAUCUUAAGAAUGACUCCAGCUCAGUUUGCAUUCUUAUUAGAAAAAGUACGCCCCUAUAUUAGCAAGCAGGAUACAAAAUUCAGGAACUGCAUAGGAGCUGCGGAACGGCUGCAGCUGACAUUGCGAUAUCCAUCCAGUGGUAAGAUAUAAUAUUUUCUUGGUAAUUUUUAGUACCGACAUACAUAUGUAUGUACAUAUUUCCAAAAUUAGGUGAAACCCAAAGGUCACUUCAAUUGCCGUUCCGAAUUCAGCAGUCAACCAUUUCCAGAAUUUUAAAGGAAUCUAUUCCCGCAAUAUAUUUGGCGUUAAGGGAGGAGUAUUUGAAAUUCCCUGCAAGUGAGCAAGAUUAGCGUGAUAUUGCAAAAGACUUUUAUCAGAUGUGGGGAUUCCCGAACUGCAUCGGCGCUUUAGAUGGAAAGCAUUGCAGAAUACUGCCAGUGAGGAAAGCAGGAUCUACGUAUUUCAAUUACAAAGUAUACCAUUCAUUUGUAUUGAUGGCAAUCGCUGAUGCCCACUAUCGUUUUAUUUAUGCUGAUGUCGGUGUUAAUGGGAGAGUGGGUGAUGCUGGAAUUUGGUUGAACUCGGACCUGAAAUACGCUAUUGAAAAAAAUGAAGUACAUAUACCAGCCCCAUGCACGCUCCCUUUCAUGUCAACUCCCUCGCCUUUUGUGCUUUUAGCCGAUGAUGCCUUUGCUCUAAAAGACUACUUAAUGAAACCUUACUCUCAUCUAAGACUAUCACCAAGCGAACUUAAAUACAACAACAUACUUUCGAGGAACAGGCGCGUUGUUGAAAAUGCUUUUGGCAUUCUUGCGAACCGUUUUCGAGUUUUAUUUUCACCCAUCCAUCGCGUUCCAGCUGCAGCCAUUCAGAUUGUAUUAUCUUGCGUAUGUGUGCACAACUUUUUAAGAACAGAAAAUGUGAAAAAGAAAACUACGUUUGACGCCAUUUCCGAAAGUGAAAUAGAUGCAAUAAUAGAUAACAACUAUACAACAACCGCUUCUGAAAGAAAUGCGUCAAAAAG